AUGGUGCUCAAAUCUGGCUGCACACUGGAACCACCUGGGGACCUUGAAGAAAACGAACUCUGCCUUGCCCAGUUAAUGAGAUUCUCUGGAGUCUGGGCCCUGGGCUUUGGUAUUGACAGCAUCCUGGGGGAUUCUAGAAUCCAGCAGAGGACCCAGGAGGAGCACCGGGAGGAACCUGCCGCUGAUCCACAAGCCAAGGAGAGCUCUACAGAUUACAAUUGGAAUCAUCGGCGGAACAGGCUUGGAUGAUUCAGAAAUCUUAGAAGGAAGAACUGAAAAAUAUGUGGAUACUCCGUUUGGCAAGCCUUCUGAUGCCUUAAUUUUGGGGAAGAUAAAGAAUGUUGACUGCAUUCUCCUUGCACGGCACGGGAGGCAGCAUAGCAUCAUGCCCUCAGAAGUCAACUACCGGGCGAACAUCUGGGCUCUGAAGGAGGAGGGCUGCACACACGUCAUCGUCACCACCGCCUGCGGUUCCUUGAGGGAGGAGAUUCGGCCCGGAGACAUCGUCAUUAUCGACCAGUUCAUCGACAGGACCACCAAGAGACCUCAGACCUUCUAUGACGGAACUUCCCCCUGUGCCAGAGGAGUGUGCCAUAUUCCAGCAGCUGACCCAUUCUGCCCCAAAACCAGACAGGUCCUCUUAGAGAAUGCUAAGAAGCUAGGACUCCGGUGCCACUCGAAAGGGACAAUGGUCACAAUCGAGGGACCUCGUUUUAGCUCCCGGGCAGAAAGCUUCAUGUUCCGCGCCUGGGGGGCGGAUGUUAUCAACAUGACCACAGUUCCAGAGGCGGUCCUUGCUAAGGAGGCUGGAAUUUGCUAUGCCAGCAUCGCCUUGGCAACAGAUUAUGAUUGCUGGAAGGAGAAUGAGGAAGAGGUUUCAGUGGACCGGGUUUUAAAGAUUCUGAAAGAAAAUGGCAAUAAAGCCAAAAGUUUACUCCUCAGUACCAUACCCCAGAUAGGGUCCAUGGAAUGGUCAGAGACUCUUCGUACUCUGAAGGAUAUGGCCCAGUUUUCUGUCUUAUUACCAAAACAUUAA